UAUAAAGUCAAAAUAUGUUGAUUUUGUAACUAAAAUAUUGAAAUCAUUGGCAAACAAGUGUUGUUUUAGUAGCGUUAAGGCCUCGUCUUUUAGAGACCAUUCAGAAAGAAAGACAGAAACCACAGCAUUUAAUGAAGUGUUUCAACACACAGCUCAGCAGAAGCCAGUACCGGGUCCGUCGGAUCAGUGGAACGGAGUCACUCAUAGAGAAACAGCUCCAUAGCGCUACUAGAGGUCCAAAACCUCCACAGGGAACCUUUAAUCUGUAUAAUUUAAUUACAUUCAGAUAUUAAAGAUGAUAUCAAAGGAGAA